rnacentral:lncRNA from 1 species
GUCUUGCAUAUCUACACCCAAGCUUUUAAAACUAAACAAUUUAUGUAAAUCUUAUAAAGAUACUGUAUAAUACUAUGUAUGUUAGAUCCAUGUCUCUUUUCAAUUUGAGGAUUUUAUAUGGAAAGUCAUGGGAUACAUGUACUUUUGAAUAACCACCUUCCCAGAGCCAUACAGUUAUUUGACAAUAAUUUGGUAUUUCUGCCUUUUGUUAUUUAGGACCAACGAUGCUUAAAAAAGGUAUUUUUAGGGGCCAGCCCUGUGGCGCAGUGGUUAAGUUCACACGUUUCAGUUCAGUGGUCCAGGGUUUGCUGGUUCAGAUCCUGGGUGUGGACCUACACAAUGCUUGUCAAGCCAUGCUGUGGCAGGUGUCCCACAUGAAAUAGAGGAAGAUGGGCACAGAUGUUGGCUCAGGGCCAAUCUUCCUCAGCAAAAAGAGGAGGAUUGGCAGCAGAUGUUAGCUCAGGGCUAAUCUUCCUCAAAAAAAAGAAAGAAAAAAGGUAUUUUUAUUUAGGAAGUUUGUUAUCUAUUGGUGAUAAUUGUUAAUAAUACUUUGAACAUUUCUAUGUAGUGCUAUACUUUGCCAAUGCUGCCAUCUUCUGGACGCCAUUAAGCACUGUAACAAUCAGAGAAGCUGACAGUGCAUAGUGGUUUCCAAAAGUAAUGCGUAUUAGUGUUAAAAAAAGCUUUCAUUUUCUUUCUUUUUUCUUUUUUUAGUUUGAAAAAAGCCUGGAUAUAUAUAUUUUUUCGAUUUCCCUCAUAAAAUACUUGACUAUCUCCUUACUUUCCUAACCAUGUACUGCUGAAGUCAGAAUGGUAUAGGGUGUAAAAUGGAUAUGCUAAACGUCUUAAUUUUGCCCCUCUGGAUCUGUUAUCCACGCUUUCUACUCUGCUUUGUGUCCUGGGAGGCAGAGGCUGACCUAUAUGGACUAUAGCAACAAGAUUCCUUGACUUUCAACUUCUAAUUGGAUCUGGACAAUAAGAAGCAUUCAAAGGAAAUCAAAGGGGGAGAAGGGAGUAGAGCUGGGUCCCUCAUAUGAGAUCACAGGGCUCUGUCCCUUAACUGAAGGUCAUAUCUCCCAGCAAGGGGCCUUACCAAAAUAGGUCAGUCUGCCUUAGGGAAUUAGUAGUCACUUCCUCCUUGUAUUCUUCAGGGCUGUUCUGAAACCUAGACACUUCACAUCCCCUGUGGCUCCCUACAUUCUGCUCAUACCUUUGUAAAUGAUCCUUUCAUUAAAUAUUCCUUAAAUCACCCAGCUUGAGUAUAUUUCCUGUUGGGACACUGACCAAAACAGUGGGAAUAAUAAUAGCAGUUAACCCAGAGGUGUGUUAUAAGGGUUAAAUAAACUAAGACCUGGCUAGAGCUUAAAUAAUGGCUGAGAAAAGAGAUAAAGAUGAAGGCAGUGGGACAGAAAAUGAUAAUGAUGGAGGAAAAAGAUGCUGCAAUACUAAGAUAAUUGCUAUCCUUCAGUGGUUAGAAGCCCCCCAAAAUGGAAUACUUAUAUUGAAAUAUCUUUAUAGAAAAGAUUCAGAGAUAUACAAGAAAAAAGAUUUCCUGCUAUAAAGGUGUAGCUGAAUCGGCAGAUCAAAAGUUCACAAUGUACAAGAAAAACAGCUUUAGGAUGAUCAACAAUAAGACAUGAGAAAAAGAAAGAAUUCUUUAAGCAACCAGCUCCCCCUAAAAAAAAGUCCCCUAUGAGGAGGAAAAAUAAAAGAUUGGUUCAUACUAAUAUUUAAUUCCAGAAGACAUUAAGGUCUACAAAAUUCUAAGGGAAAGAUGACACAAGAUUAUAACCAAAUACAGCUUUCCUUAGUGUCAAGGAAUUCCUUGAUUAAAAGAUGUCUAUUUUUGGAAUAUUGUAUUUCACAAUAGGCAUUCCUAAGGGAGUCUUAAUUUUAUCUGUGGUCAUCAGUGUAUAUUGUACCAUGAUGGUAAAAGCUUAUCUAUUAAACAAAUUAUGAACAUGUUUUUAGAAAAUACCUGGUAAAAUGACACAAUGCUUGUAAUUUGUAAACUAAACCAUGUAUUUGAAGUCAUGCACCCCCUUUUUUCAAUCGUCAGAGACAUGUACCAUUUGUCAGGGACGUCAUCCUUGGUUGUGAUAAAAAGACUCAAAAGUUUACACGGUGUAUUUUUACCCUUUCUUGUUUAUGCUCAUAUAUCUCCAUUAUAUAAUAUGUUAAUAUGGGCUCAAAUAAAUAGGAUUCCAUACACAAAAUUAUAGCCAGCUGUUAUGGGCUGAAUUGUGCCCUCCCUCACUCAAAUUCAUGUGUUAAAGUCCUGGUCCCAGUACUUCAGAAUAUGACUGUGUUUGGUGAUGGGGUCUUUAUAGGGGUAAUUAAGUUAAAAUGAAGUUAUUAGGGUGCAUCCUAGUCCAAUAUGACUGUGUCCUUAUAAGAAGAGGGAAUUUGGACACUGAUCUGUACGGAGGGAAGAUGUGUGAAGAUAAAGGCCAUGAAGUAGGACUAGGUGUUCUGAAAAUCUGCCACCACCUGUUCAAGCAAAUAGUUUAUGCUCAGUACAUUUUUGAGACUGAUAUUAUAUAUACUGUGAUGGCCGUUGUGUCUGCUCAACACAAUAUUUGUGACGAGCAGCUCAGUUCCUUUGGUCAUGUGAGGCUGAUGAUUAGGCAUUUAAUCUUUACCAAGGCUCGGUAGAACUCCAGGACACAUUUCUUCAGAGAUGUUAGCUGCAGGAGGAAACAUGGCUCUUCCCCACUACUUUAGAUGGCUACACUGUAAUUCUCCUAUUGCCACUUUCCAGCGUUCGAUCUGAAUAAUACUCAAGCUGCUGCAAAAGCUGGGUAUCAUUGGCUCUGCUCAGCCAUAAGGCCUAAGUGGCAGAACAGCUUCCUUCAUUACAUCCAGGACCUGUUGCAGAGUUUUUUGUUGCUUGCGGGCCCCUUCAAACUGGCAGCACACUCAAAUAUGUAUUUAUCACCCUCAAAAUCAAGAGAGACCCAAAAAGUAUAUCCCUUUUCUCCUUGAGAAGUGCUUUGUUCAGCAACUUGUCCCUUAUUUUGGAGGAGCUGUCCUACAUGACCCAGACCACUCAAUCCCUAGAAACUUCUCUUAGGUGGCAGGACCGUGAUUUUAGUGGGGUUUAUCUCCCAUCCGAUGCCACCUACAUGUGUCACUCUGGUAAAUAGGAUGCUUAUUAUUUCUUGGGUAUCAGGUUGACUCAGCAUGAUGUCAUCCAUGUUGUAGACUGGCAAGAUGUUCUGUGGUAUUUCAAGAUAAUCGGAAUCUCUGUGAACCAGACCAGAGAUUGAUAUUUUCUGUAAAGAGCCAAAAUAGUGGAUAUUUUAGGCUUUGUGAGCCAUACGAUCUCUGUUGCAACUGUUCACCUCUGUGGUUGUAGCAUGAAAACAGCUGUAGGUGAUACAUAGAUACCACAUGAAUGUGAGUGUGUGUCAAUAACACUUUGUUAAUAAACGCUGAAAUUUGAAUUUCAUAUAAUUUUCAUGUGUCAUGAAAUAUUAUUCAUUUUUGGAUUUUUGUCAACCAUUUAAAAAUGUAAAAAUCAUUCUUAGCUUGUGGGCCAUACGAAAAUAAAUGGCGGGCUGGAUUUGGCCUAUAGGUUGCCACUUGCUGACAGCUGGAUUGAAUUAUGGCAGAGAGCAAGAAAAUUGCCAUAGACAACUGCGGCAAACCAUGAAAGCAUAUUGCUGACCCUACCAGGUGAAAGCAAACUGCUCGUGCUUACCUUUAUACUUUGUCAUACUGAAAUAAGCAAAGGAUGUGUCAAUAACUUCAUACUAGAUGGGAGGGGCUAUAUUAAUUCAUUCCAUGAAAGAAGCCAAAUCUGAAAUAGUAGCUGUGGUUGAAGUCACCACCUAAUUAAUUUUAUGAUAAUCCAUAGUCAUUCUCUAAGAUACUUCAGUCUUCUGAAUAUGCCAUAAAGGCAAGUUAAAUAGUAAUAUAAUAGGAGUCAUUAUCCUAGAACCUCUCAGAUUUUUGAUAGUAGCACAACUCUCUGACAUUCCCCCAGGAGUUUCAGAAUGUAAUUAAAAAACAGUUAGUUAGAAAUAUUUAUGUAUAGCAUAAUAAUAAUUAAAAAAUAUAUGUUUAUAUGUGUAUAAAAUAUAUACAAAUAUGUGUUACAAUGUUGAAUUGGUUAUUACCUGGUUGUGUGAUUAUGGGUAAUUUUUUUUUCUUAAAGAUUGGCACCUGGGCUAACAACUGUUACCAAUCUUCCUUUUUCUUUUUCAAAGAUUGGCACCUGGGCUAACAACUGUUGCCAAUCUUUUUUUUUUUUCCCCUGCUUUAUCUCCCCAAACCCCGCCUGUACACAGUUGUAUAUCUUAGUUGCACAUCCUUCUAGUUGUGGGAUGUGGGACACCACCUCAACGUGGCCUGAUGAGUGGUGCCAUGUCUGCACCCAGGAUCCGAACCCUGGGCCGCCGCAGCGGAGCGCAUGAACUUAACCACUCGGCCACGGAGCUAGCCCCUGGGUAAUUUUUUUACUUUUGUGCUUUUUAAUAUUUUCCAUUACUUAUAGUAAAAAUGUAUUCCCUUACAGUCAGAAAAGACUCUAAUUUAUUUUUGUAAGAAUCACUGUUAAAGUCAAUACUAAAUUUAUCUGGAUGAGGUAUAUGAAAUAAUCCUGAGAAUAGUUGAUACCAGCGCUAACCUCAGCAGAUGUAAAUAUUUGAGUCAUAAUCACUGUACCAAUUUCAAUUAGCUCAUUAUUGUUAUUUUAUGAUUUAAUUAAAUGUUUGAAGUAACAUACAUCCAGUCUUUAUUAUUAUGCAUAUAUUUUCAAAGAGAAUUCUAAAAGCUCUGGCUUCCAAGUGAAAGAGUAUUAAUGAAUGGAGCCUAUUUAUAAAUGCUUCUUAAACUAUGUUAAUGAUGUGUGAAAUAUGGGGCACUAAACUAACUAGGCAAUUCAGUGAUGCCGUCGUCAGCCACGGUGCUGCACGUGAAGACGGUUUGUCCCUGUCGUGCUGUGGUGAGGCAGAGGGUGUGUGAAUGCUCGGUCACCACUGCACACCUAGACUCCUAGUGCCCCUCUUAGCACUGCCACUAUUAAUUAGAGAACGAGGAAAAAAGAUUAUGACUGUUUGUUUGUCUUCUUGAUAUUUUCCUUGAGUUUUCUCUAUCUUCUGAGGCUUUAAAAUUCUAGGCUUGGAAAUCAUAGCUCAUUCCUGGGGUCCUAGUGAUUUUACUGCCACUCAGCAUAAUGAAGAGAAAGACUUUCAACAAGUGCUUUCUUCAAGAGGGCCUUUCUAGGCUUUUCUCACCUGGGUGUGUUGACUGGUGCUCAUAGUGAGGAUGAAAGCAAGGUAUUGUCGGAGAAGGUAAGUUCAGGGAAAGGCUUUGACCUCCUGAAAAUGAGAGGGUCUUAGACACUUAGACAAGUUAUCUGAUGUGAGAAAACCCUUCCAUAGCCCUUAUGUUUGGGGGAGAAAGUGUGUAGAAACAGCAAGGGAGCACUCGGCUGGCAGUUUCAGUUUUUCAAUGUUCAGAAGGUGUGAUGAGUUAUAUGCUCUCUAGGGCCUUGGAGCGCCUCUUCCUCUCUGGCGCCCUGGCUUACGUCUCUCUAACACUAAGCACGCUGGGUUCUAAUUACUGACAUCCUGGGUGGCACUUGUGCCUCGCCCUGCCUGCCUGCUCACCAAACUGUGAGCUGCUUGAGGUCAGGACCAUGUCAUAUUCUACUUUGUAUCCCCAGCAUCCAGUAACUGGCAUGCGCAGGGCACGUGAAAACACAACCUGCAUGAAUGAACUAUUGGGAAAGACUGGUCUGCGGGGACUCUAGCUGUAGGCUCAUCUUCCUCAGUAGUGGGUGUAAGGGGGAUAAGAGGAAGACAGGAAGCAAAUAUGUUUUGAGCUCCUACAUUUAGCCAUUGCAUAUUUUUACUUAAUGCCUUUAAGAUGUGACAUAGGUAUAAUUAUGGCAAUUUUACAGCACGUAGAGUGUGUAAUUUGCCUCAACAAGUGACCAACUCUGAAUAUGAACCCCAGGUUUCUCUCAACUUUAUAACCCAGGUUUCUUUCACUCUAAUAUGCCUUUAGUGACAGUAAUUGGUAGCAUGGUCUCUAUAGAAUAAGAUUAUUGCUACAGACUUAGGAAAAUAGACCCUAGGAGUAUUUGGAGUGGAAGGAGCUUUUUUGAGAUCCUAGCUGUGCAAAGCUUACUUCAGCAGAGUCCUUAUUUCUAGUAUUCCUGCAAACGGCUUCUGAAAGAGGGUUGGUAUAGGGGAGGGAGCGGGUGGCAGGAUAUGUGUAUUGUACCAUUAAGGCCUGGAAAAAUUUGUUCCUUUCAUCUUUCCCCAGUAUGCCUCCUCCUCCAUGAUUCCCCCCUGAUUCCACCUUUCCAUUCUUGUAGUACUCAGUUUGUACCACUCACAAAGCAUUGUCAUACUGCCUUCUAUUGUAAAUGUUUAUGUAUCUGACUUGACUCAAUGUUUAUGUAUCUGACUUGACUCUGGUUCUGUAUUUUCGGUACUUUUGUCUCUGGUUCUAACACAGUGUAGCAAGUAGAUGGUCAAUAAAUGCUUGCCUUUCUCUUUCAAAUUUAUGCUGAAAUCUUUUUAAACUAUUAAGGUAUUUCCCUUUCCUCCAAAUAGAGAGGAACUGCAUGAAGGCGAUCUCGAAGGAUCCACUGAUAUUGUGUGGGAACACAGUGGCCGUGGUGAUGUGUUGCCUAGAUCCUGCUUCAGUGAAGGACUGGUUGUCCCAGCUGCUGGGAGUGGUGUCAGCGGACGGCUUCGGCUGGCACUGUCUUCAGGGAUGGCUUCAGCUGUAAAGAGCUGCCUCAGCCAAGGUCACGCCUGUCCCGGGGCAGCCGACCUCCAGUGACUGGUCGAGGUUGGGGUAUAAAGGCCUGGCCUUUUUAAUCCAAUGUGGGACAGCUCUGAUGGGCCAUUUUCACUUCCAUUCAAGAAACUGUGCUGGGAUUUUUAAUUUAAUUUUUCUGUCUUUUUAAAGUGGAUGCAAUUCAUUAAAAAUUUAUGAAUAAUUAUUACUGAGCCAUAAAGUAUUUCUGAUCCAUUACCUCACUUGAAUAGAAGUGGGUUAAGAAUCAUUUUCUUUAGGAAACCCCAUUUAGAUAAUGUUUCCUUUUUUUUCUGCCCCCUCCCUAUGUGAUGUCAAAAGUUUGUAUAUUACAAAAGUUUAUUGAUCAGGAUGCUAAGCACUUGACGCUUCUAUUUUUUAAAAAUUGGAUUCAUAUAAUAUGUACUGAGGGUACAUGAUAGAAUAGAAAGCAUGUGAGCAUUAGAGUCAGACUGAGAAUUAAUGCCCCAGCAAAUAUAUGUAAAACACUUAGUACACGGCGAAUACUUAGUGAUAGUUUAAUUUUCUUUUUUAUAUUGUGUGUUACUAAUUCUGCUGGCACCUUCACAAUGUUAUCUCAUCUCCUUGCAUCCAUUCUUCCCAGCAACAUCUCGUCGUCUCCCCAACCAUUAAUUCCAAACUAUAGUCAAAAUGAUCUUUAAAAAAUGAAAAUCUGAUUGGUCUCUUCUCUGCUUAAAAUCCUAAGACUUCUUAUUGCUCUUAAGAUAUAGACCAAAAUUCUUCCAUCGGCCUUUAAGAACCUGAAUGUUCUGGCCCUGUUCACCUCUCUGGGUUCAUCUCUUAUAAGCCUGCUUUCCUUCAUUCUCUCCACUACAGCCCCUUUCACCUUCUUCUAGUUCCUCAUGUGUUUGUCGUGUCUCUGCUGUUCCCACCGCCUGGAAUGUUCCAUUCCUGCCCAUCUCUUCCCCUUGGUUAGUUAGCUCUUUCUCAUCCUUUAGAUCUCAGCCCAGGAGAGUCUUCUCUGACCUGCCACCCCUCCCCUCAGUUUAAAUCAUUGGUAUAUACUCCUGUACGACUAUGUUCCCUCACUUCGGGGCACUUAUCUAGAUUUGUAACUCAGCAUCAGUGUCAUCAAUUAAUUGGUUUCUGUCUUUCCCACAGGACUGAGUUCCCUGAAAGCAGGAAGCUUGUUACUGAAUUCUUAUAGCCUAGUUCAGUGAUUAGAUCGUAGUAGGUAGCCAGUAAAUAUUACACGGUUUAAUCAGCAAAAAACAGAGCAAGGAGCCUUGAUCCACGCUGAAUCAGUUUGACUUCUGGAGGGACCGGAGACUGAAUAAAGGCAGUCACGUGGGUGCUCUAUGCUGCUGUGACCAAUCUCUAAUAGAAACCAUGGACGCCAAGGCUGAGUUUCUUUCCAGGAACAGGCUGACCACAGGCGGGAAAUACACCUACAAGGUAUCCAUCACAGCUGACGGAAGAAUGGAACAAUAAAAGACCCUGGAUUCUGUCAUGCCUGAAGGCUUACUUUUCCAAACCUCCUCCUUACUCCCUAUUUUCCCUAUAUAACUACCUCAAGAUUCUGUAAUUGUUGAAGAUGGGUUUUUUGAAACUUUAGUCACCCAUCUUCUGAUUUUGCCUGCUAAUCCAGUUAAAGCUUCCUUUCUUGAUCCCUCACUUGUGGUGAUUUAUUGGCUCAGAUCCCGAUGAGCAGAGCCCAUUGCUCAGUAACACAUAUGACUCCAAUGGGAAAGGAAAACUAAAAGCUUAUUCCUGGUCUCCCCUGGACUCCACCCUGUGGACUUUCUACCUUUGCUCAUUUUCAUCUGUAGCCUUUCACUAUAAUAAACGGUAACCAUGAGUAUAACAUCUUUUCUGCUUUAUAUGAGUCCUUAUAGAGAAUCAUUGAAUCUGAGGGUGGUCUUGAGGACCCCUGUCACAGCUGCUUAGAAAAGGAAUGGACUUUGAGAUUAUUUGCAUGGGUUUAAGACUGCUGUGUGGAUCUUUUUUUUGUUUUUUGAGGAAGAUUAGCCCUGAGCUAACAUCUGCUGCCAAUCCUCCUCUUUUUGCUGAGGAAGACUGGUCCUGAGCUAACAUCCGUGCCCAUCUUCCUCUACUUUAUAUGUGGGACACCUACCACAGCAUGGCUUGCCAAGCAGUGCCAUGUCUGCACCCGGGAUCUGAACCGGCAAACCUCGGCCGCGGAAGCAGAACGUGCGAACUUAACCACUGCGCCACUACAAUGCCCCAGGAGAAGACAACCACACCCUCACUUCUGGAGGUAGAUCGUCAUUAGUUUAAGCCAAUCAACAGAUGACAUUCCUCUGGCUACAAUUGGUCCAGGGACUUAAAAAGGAAGCCUAUACUCCCAAUUGCCCUUGGCAGUCAUCUUUCAACUACAAGGGGAACCAGCCAUAGGAUGAACCCUAUGCCAAGAGGAACAGACACCUGAGACCUUGAUUAUGUCGUUGAGCUCCACCUGGAGCCUACAUUAGGAGGACUUCCUGUUAUAUAGAGUGUUAUGGACUGAACUGUGUUCACUCCAAAUUUGUAGGUUGAAGUCCUGAUCCCUAGUACUUUAGAAUGUCACUGUAUUUGGAGAUAAUGAAGGUUAAAUGAAGUCCUAAGGGUGGGCCCUAAUCCAAUAUGACUUCUGUCCUUGUAAGAAGAAAGAGAGACACUAGGGAUACAUGAGCACAGAUGAAAGGCCACGUGAGGACGCAGCAAGAAGAUGACCAUCUGCAAGCCCAGGAGAGAGGCCUCAGGAGAAACCAGCCCUGCUGACACCUUGAUCUUGGACUUCCAGCCUCCAGAGCUGUGAGGAAUAAAUUUCUGUUGCUUU